UACGGGGGGGGCAAGCGUUGUUCGGAAUUACUGGGCGUAAAGGGCUCGUAGGCGGCCAACUAAGUCGGACGUGAAAUCCCUCGGCUUAACCGGGGAACUGCGUCCGAUACUGGAUGGCUUGAGUAUGGGAGAGGGAUGCGGAAUUCCAGGUGUAGCGGUGAAAUGCGUAGAUAUCUGGAGGAACACCGGUGGCGAAGGCGGCUUUCUGGUCUGCUCUUGACGCUGAGGCGCGAAAGCUAGGGUAGCAAACGGG
rnacentral:rRNA from 1 species